rnacentral:rRNA from 1 species
GACGAACGCUGGCGGCGUGCUUAACACAUGCAAGUCGAACGGAAAGGCCCUGCUUGCAGGGUACUCGAGUGGCGAACGGGUGAGUAACACGUGGGUGAUCUGCCCUGCACUUCGGGAUAAGCCUGGGAAACUGGGUCUAAUACCGGAUAGGAGCCAUUUUUAGUGUGAUGGUUGGAAAGUUUUUUCGGUGUAGGAUGAGCUCGCGGCCCAUCAGCUUGUUGGUGGGGUAAUGGCCUACCAAGGCGGCGACGGGUAGCCGGCCUGAGAGGGUGGACGGCCACAUUGGGACUGAGAUACGGCCCAGACUCCUACGGGAGGCAGCAGUGGGGAAUAUUGCACAAUGGGCGCAAGCCUGAUGCAGCGACGCCGCGUGGGGGAUGACGGCCUUCGGGUUGGAAACUCCUUCCGCUAGGGACGAAGCUUUUUGUGACGGUACCUAGAUAAGAAGCACCGGCUAACUACGUG